AAAGCUCAGAACAAUCAUCUGGGCCACAGGCAACAAGAUAGUUGUCAUCUGGACUCCAAGCAAUAUAAGAGACACCAUAGGCAUGACCUUCUAACGUCUUAAGUAGUUUUAGCUGUAUUAAUCAGCAGAGCACCUCUUGAUUCUAAACAGAAAGAACAUGGUCAACAGAAGAAGAGAGAGACACAAAGGACUGUUUCCUCGGAUCAGCUGUGAGGGAUUUGGUGACUCUCAGCCAGCCUGCAGCUUUGUUGGUUCUGCUGGCUAGAACAACUAAAUUCCUCAAAAGCAAGUGGGCCAAGAAUAACCUUCAAAGCACAAAGA